rnacentral:rRNA from 1 species
UGGGGAAUAUUGGACAAUGGGGGCAACCCUGAUCCAGCCAUGCCGCGUGAGUGAUGAAGGCCUUCGGGUUGUAAAGCUCUUUUGGCGGGGACGAUGAUGACGGUACCCGCAGAAUAAGCCCCGGCUAACUUCGUGCCAGCAGCCGCGGUAAGACGAAGGGGGCUAGCGUUGUUCGGAAUUACUGGGCGUAAAGCGCGCGUAGGCGGCUUUGUAAGUUAGAGGUGAAAGCCCGGAGCUCAACUCCGGAAUUGCCUUUAAGACUGCAUCGCUAGAAUCAUGGAGAGGUGAGUGGAAUUCCGAGUGUAGAGGUGAAAUUCGUAGAUAUUCGGAAGAACACCAGUGGCGAAGGCGGCUCACUGGACCGUAGUUGACGCUGAGGUGCGAAAGCGUGGGGAGCAAA